GGCCAUAUCACGCUGAAGUACCGAUUCUCAUACGAUCACCGCAGUUAAGCAAUGUUGUGCUUGGUCAGUAUCUAGAUGGGUGAUCGUUUGUGAAUACCAGGUGCAGUAGG